rnacentral:rRNA from 1 species
UACAUGUGGGGCAAGCGUUGUUCGGAAUUACUGGGCAUAAAGGGUGCGUAGGUGGUUUGUUAAGUCAGGGGUGAAAUCCCGCGGCCCAACCGUGGAACUGCCUUUGAUACUGGCGAACUUGAGUGCGUGAGGGGUAGGGGGAACGAGCAGUGUAGCGGUGAAAUGCGUAGAUAUCAGGAGGAACACCUGUGGCGAAAGCGGCUCACUGGACCAUAACUGACGCUGAUGCACGAAAGCUAGGGGAGCAAACAGG